AUUGAACGCUGGCGGCAUGCCUUACACAUGCAAGUCGAACGGCAGCACGGGGCAACCUGGUGGCGAGUGGCGAACGGGUGAGUAAUGCAUCGGAACGUACCUUUCAGUGGGGGAUAACGUAGCGAAAGUUACGCUAAUACCGCAUAUUCUGUGAGCAGGAAAGCAGGGGAUCGCAAGACCUUGCGCUGAUUGAGCGGCCGAUGUCAGAUUAGCUAGUUGGUGAGGUAAAGGCUCACCAAGGCGACGAUCUGUAGCGGGUCUGAGAGGAUGAUCCGCCACACUGGAACUGAGACACGGUCCAGACGCCUACGGGAGGCAGCAGUGGGGAAUUUUGGACAAUGGGGGCAACCCUGAUCCAGCCAUGCCGCGUGAGUGAAGAAGGCCUUCGGGUUGUAAAGCUCUUUCGGCCGGGAAGAAAUCGCACGGGCUAAUACCCUGUGUGGAUGACGGUACCCGCAGAAGAAGCACCGGCUAACUUCGUGCCAGCAGCCGCAGUAA
rnacentral:rRNA from 1 species